rnacentral:tmRNA from 1 species
AUAUUCGCUUUGCCGCCUCUCGGGGCGGCUAUGGCGAUAAACGAACACCGUAAUAAACCAUCCGGACCCGGGGGCGGUACCCGGCGCCUCCACCAGAGCCCGUCGCCUGCGGCGGGUUGUGGCGGGGGCGAAAUAGGAUCGACGGGGGCGUAAAGGGUGCUUUUUUGCUCGGCAUGAUACCGCCGUUAUCGGGUCAAACCUUAUAGUUGCCAACGACAACUAUGCUCCGGUGGCCCUCGCUGCGUAAUGCAGCGCUGGUACUGGGAUUAAAGCCCUAGGGGUUAGCACUUCUAGGCGGGGCUCGGAGGCGCCUGGCAACAGAAGCCUCCACUUAUUUU